UGUCAUCUUCCCCAUCGAGCAUGUUCCACAGGGGCACUGUAGCUCACCAAACCGCAGCGAGAUCGAAUCGAUUGGUUUGAUCGAUUCUUGACCCCAGGACACGGGAUCCACCCUAUAUAAGAUCACCAAACCCCCCUCUGCCGAUUUUUCUUUGUUUCGCCACCUCCUGAGCCCUAGAAUGGCGCCCAGAUCUCACCGGAGUCCGCCGCCGCCCGAAGCUUCUAUCGCCGCCGAUUUCUUCACCACCGAGGGUCCUCAGCGCCUCCCUUACCCUCUGUUGUAUUCGCCUUGACCUCCUCUGUUGCCCUAACCGAGUAUAUCGCAUAGGGAAGCAUCCAAUCGAGCUCUAGGACCUCGAUCCGAAGCUCAAGUCCGAUGCCGCAGCUCCAGCCGGACCUCACCGACGCUAGCAGAAGCUCCCGUCGCCCAUGAGGACCUUUUCGAGUUCGCCGUGUUCCUCCUCAUCUCCUCUCGUCGUCCCCUAUCUCAGGAGGCCUCCGCAUCGCGCACAUCCUCCGAGUCCGGGCCGCCCCACGCCGUUCUCCUCCAAGUCCGGCAGCCACCGAGCCUCUGCUGUUCCGGUGAGCAUCUCUCGCCGUCCGAUUCAAGUAGGACCGCCCACAUUAAAUCUCUAUUUUUUUCGUUCGUUGAAAUGUUUUUCUGUUAUAUGCCGGCCAUCCGUCGGUUAGCCAUAGCAGCAAACACCCUAUGGCCACUCACGCCUUGACACGUGGCACAUCCACAGCAGCCGCGACAGUUCUUCUAGGAACGCUGUCAUGGAACAAUUUUUUUGGCAGAUUCCAUAUAAUAUUUUCGUUUUGGCAUAACUUGAGAUCUGUAACUCCAAAUCAAUCGAUUCUUUUUCCUGUGUACUCGUAGUGACCAGGAGAAUAUUGUAGUACGAAAAAUUCACAUUUUUUGAACUGUUUAAAUUUGAAUUUGUUUAAAUUUGUAUUUAACCUUCUCAAGGCCUUAUGUUUCAAACUAUUUAUCCAAAUUAGUUGACUCUUUUUGCAUUGUGAUCCUACUAGCAUGUAGAUAAUAUAUACCUAUUGAUAUGUUCUUUUAUUUAAGUUUUAUUUGAGUUAUUUGUUGUUCGCUUUAUUGUGGUGUUAUGUGAGUACGAUUUAUUUAUCGGUGCCUUCGUUAAACGUAUAGAUUGUCCAGAGUGUGAAGCGGAUCAGGACUAAGCGUUAGAGUACUUCAACACCGUUCAAGGCAAGUUUGCACUUUUGAUUUGCUCAUCCUAUAUUUCUGCUAUGCAUGUGUAGUUGUUGUGAUAUGUUAUAUGUUUGGUUGAUCAUUGUGUUCUGUGUUGUCAUGUUUUGGUAUUGACUGUGUUAUGUGAUGGUGUGAGUGGCUUGAGAUGGUAGAUGUGGGUAUGUAUCAAUUGAUGCAUGGAAGUGGUGAGUCUUUCUAGCUGUAGGAUCGGGACUUUUUCUCAGGUGAAUGCGUCAAUGGCUGAGCGCUCUAUUAUCCCUAGAGAAUGCGCCAUGGCUGAGCGCACAUGGGGUUUCGGGGCUUAAAUCAGGUGAAUGUGUUGAUGGCUGAGCGAUCUAUUGUCCUUACAGAAUUCGCCAUGACUGAGCACACUUGAGACUUCUUGAAGAUCUUUCUCAUAUCAUUCUAUGAUUCUGAGGGUUUCCCGUGUGCGAGUAAUUUGGCUGUGUUCCAGUUUAGCCUGGUGUCAUUUGUGCUUGUGUAAACCUUGACUACCUAGUGGAGGCAGCUGAAGUUAGUUUAGGCCAAACCAACUUGAGUGUUUUGUUUGUCAUACCUUGCUUGUGGAUGUAGGUUUGCUAUAUCAUAAUGUGUGAUUUGCCAAUACAUUCAAUUCAUUGACCCUUGUGGCUGCAACUUAUCAUGUUGCAGGAUUUUCAGAUGAUCAAUGAGAUAAAGUAGGGUCGCGAGUCUUCACUCAGCAUUUUUGCCGGUGGGCGUUGACGGGACUCAUCAUUUGCUUAUGCUAUAUUUUGCUGUUAUUGUUGAAUAAAGCUAGCAAUGUGCUACGCAGUUUGUAAUGCUCUAUAAAUUUUGGAUCAUACGUUAUAGUAAAUGAUGCACUUGUACUUUG
rnacentral:lncRNA from 1 species